rnacentral:rRNA from 1 species
GGGGGCCCGCACAAGCGGUGGAGCGCGUGGUUUAAUUGGAUGCUGAGCCAAGAACCUUACCAGGGCUUGACAUGCCGGUGGUACCACUUCCGAAAGGCGGGGGACCCAUACCUUUAUAGGUAUGGGAGCUGGCACAGGUGGUGCACGGCCGUCGUCAGCUCGUGCCGUGAGGUGUUGGGUUAAGUCCCGCAACGAGCGCAACCCCUGCCCUUAGUUGCCAUAGGCGGAAUGCCUGGCACUCUAAGGGGACUGCCGCCGACGAGGCGGAGGAAGGGGGGGGAUGACGUCAGGUAAUCGUGCCCCUUAUGCCCUGGGCGACACACGCGCUACAAUGGGGUGGACAGCGGGAAGCGACCCUGUGAAGGGAAGCCAAUCCCUGAAACCACCUCGAAGUUCGGAUCGCAGGCUGCAACUCGCCUGCGUGAAGUCGGAAUCGCUAGUAAUCGCGGAUCAGCCAUGCCGCGGUGAAUACGUUCCCGGGCCUUGUACACACCGCCCGUCACGCCACCCGAGCUGGGGGCUCCCGAAGGCGUUCUACCCAACCCGAAAGGGAGGGAGAGCGCUGAGGGAGAAACUGGUAAGGGGGGCGAAGUCGUAGGCGGCGUGCCUAACACAUGCAAGUCGAGCGGGGAAACCUCCUUUUGGAGGUAGUACCAGCGGCGGACGGGUGAGUAACGCGUGGCUAACCUACCCUCUGGUGGGGGAUAACUGGGGGAAACCUCAGCUAAUACCCCAUAAGUUCACUGUACGGUAAGUACAGUGAAGAAAGCAGCAAUAGCUGUGCCAGAGGAGGGGGCCGCGUCCCAUCAGGUAGUUGGUGGGGUAAUGGCCCACCAAGCCUACGACGGGUAGCCGGCGUGAGAGCGUGGCCGGCCACACCGGGACUGAGACACGGCCCGGACUCCUACGGGAGGCAGCAGUGGGGAAUAUUGGACAAUGGGGGAAACCCUGAUCCAGCGACGCCGCGUGCGGGAAGAAGCCCUUCGGGGUGUAAACCGCUGUUGCAGGGGACGAAUAAAGGGAGGAGUGGAAAGUCUCUCUGAUGACGGUACCCUGCGAGGAAGCCCCGGCUAACUACGUGCCAGCAGCCGCGGUAAUACGUAGGGGGCGAGCGUUACCCGGAAUUACUGGGCGUAAAGGGGGCGUAGGCGGCCAGGCAAGUCGGGUGUGAAAUCCCACGGCUCAACCGUGGGGCUGCGCUCGAAACUGCUUGGCUUGAGGGUGGUAGAGGGAGACGGAAUUGCCGGUGUAGGGGUGAAAUCC